rnacentral:rRNA from 1 species
UACGGGGGGAGCAAGCGUUGUUCGGAUUUACUGGGCGUGAAGGGCGCGUAGGCGGUCAGCACAAGUCAGUUGUGAAAUCUCCGAGCUUAACUCGGAAAGGUCAACUGAUACUGUGCGACUAGAGUGCAGAAGGGGCAACUGGAAUUCUUGGUGUAGCGGUGAAAUGCGUAGAUAUCAAGAGGAACACCUGCGGCGAAGGCGGGUUGCUGGGCUGACACUGACGCUGAAGCGCGAAAGCCAGGGGAGCGAACGGG